AUGUGCCAGGCCUUAUGGUCCCUGCUUCGCAUGAUGUGGGGCAGCAUUCAUCUGAACGCUCAUCACUACCAAGGCCAAGGUUUUGGAAGGAAGUCCUUCUUCUCCCAUCUUAGAAUUAGACUAUCGUAUUUGGGACACGGGACUAAGGCCGCUGACUGCAUCCCUUACAAGCAUACACAGCUGCCUGCCCUUUUGCCUUGUGUCCAUCCUGGAGCGGCCUUCUGCAAGGUACCUGGACGGCCUGCCUGUUGAGGCGAGGUUGUGGAUGUCCCUGGCCCCAGUGUUCCCUGCUUUGGAUGAUGUGGGGCAGCAUCCACUUGAAUGCACUUCACCAAGGAGGCCAAGGUUUUGGAAGGAAGCCCUUCUCCACUCCCAUCUCAAUAUUAGACCAUCGGAGCAUGGGACAGGAAGCUCUGGCCCCCCA